UACGGGGGGGGCAAGCGUUGUUCGGAAUUACUGGGCGUAAAGGGCUCGUAGGCGGCCAACUAAGUCAGACGUGAAAUCCCCCGGCUUAACCGGGGAACUGCGUCUGAUACUGGAUGGCUCGAGUUUGGGAGAGGGAUGCGGAAUUCCAGGUGUAGCGGUGAAAUGCGUAGAUAUCUGGAGGAACACCGGUGGCGAAGGCGGCAUCCUGGACCAACACUGACGCUGAGGCACGAAAGCUAGGGGAGCAAACAGG
rnacentral:rRNA from 1 species